rnacentral:lncRNA from 1 species
UAAAUUAGACUUAAUAUUCUGAAGAAGAUUUCCCUUCAAAACAAAAGGCUUUCUCUUACUGUGUGCUUGCCUCUUGUGAGUAGAAGAUAAAUGAUGUAAGGGUAUAGUGUAAUAGAUAAAACUACUGCAAUCAAUCUGAAGUAGCCAAACUAUAUUGCAGUCUUGGACUUAAGACUUGCUAUAUAUCUGCAAACAUAUCAACAGCCUGUUUUACGUUGAGUAAUUUUGGUUUUUCUCUGGCAGGACUGUCUUAUUCCACUCUUCGGCGAAGCUUUACGUUCAUGUAAACAGCAUGACGUGAGGCCGUGGAUGCAGGCAUUAAGGUAUACUGUGUACCAGAAUCAGUUGUUGGAGAAAAUUAAAGUUAAGUGGUUUUCCUUUUUUUUUUUUGUAAGAGAAAAUUAAAGGUGGUUUUUUUUUUUAAAUUUUGCUUUAUUGAGGUUUAUAUUACACAUUCUAAGUGUAUGGUUUGAUGAGUUCUAACAUGUCUUCACUUGUGUGACCACCAAUACGAUCGAGAUAGAGAACAGCGUCUUACCCCAGAAGGUUCCCUUGGGAUCAUCUCCUCAUUUGCCCCUGUCAGCAGUUACUGAUUUGCUUUCUGUCACUAUGGAUUAGACUUGUCUUUACUAAAGUUUCAUGUACGUGAAAUCAUAACAACAUGUUCUCUUGUGUUUGGCUUCUCUUGCUCAGCAUGAUAUUUUUACGGUUCACCCAUAUUGCAUGUAUCAGGAAUAUAAUCCUUUUUAUUAUUGAGUAGUGUUCUAUUGUAUGUAUUUACCACAGUUUAUUUCUCCCUUCAUCCUUUGCUAGAUUUUGGGGUUUUUUCACAUUGCGCUAUUCAGUAUAAACCUGCUCUCAACAUUCAUGUGCAAGUCUUUGAGUGGACAUAUAUUUGCGUUUCUCUUGAGUGAAUGCACCUUGUUGGGUCACGUGGCUUAACUUAAAAAAAUUUUAAUCACUGUGGUGCAUAUGUAGUGAUUAUUAGUGAUUAUCUCAUAAUUUUAUUUUCUUGUUUAAUGAUGUUGAGUGUAUUUCAUUUGUAUUUUAGUUUGCAAAUGUUUGUUCAAAUUCUUCACCUGUUUUUAAUGAAGACGUACGACUUAUUUUUGUGUUCUGAACAUAAGUUCUUUGUCACAUAAAAUGUGCUAUGAAUGUUGAGUUUUAAAUACUCCAAAUGAAUGGCUAGAGAAUUACUAUUUGUAGAAAUAUUUAUAUGUCAAAGGGAUGCUAACAAUUUACUUUAUUGCUCUAAAAUAGAAAAGUUGCCAGAAUGCUGUGGAGUUUUAGUGGAAAACAUGAUAGCUGGUGUUACUGAGUAAAUUUGAGUGUUAAAUGUCAAUGUAAGCUAACGGCCAAGAUAGGGACCACUGCAGGGUGGUUACUUGCAGCUGUGACUCAACUGGUCCUUCACUGCCAAACAUACCUGGGGUUGGAUCAUUGGCCUGACGUUUGCAAAUUGAGGAACCUUAGGGCAAAUCAAUGAACUUCUGAACUGCCUUCGUCUUCAGUUAUAUGGGGAUUUCCCCACUUUUGAGGUACUUGUAAGGAUUAUAUGAGAUGAAGAGAUGAGACAAGGUAUAUAAAAGUCCUAGCACAGAGCGUGUCAUAUAAUAUGGCUUCACAAGUACCCUCAUCUCCUUUCCAGUCGUUUUUUGUUUUUGUUUUUGUUUUUUUGAGACCAUCUCACUCUGUUGCCCAGGCUGGAGUGCCUCUUCAUUUUUAUUUCUUUAUUCAGCAAGUAUUGAUCAAAUGUGCUUUGUACCAGGUACUGAGCUCUUCGUUGGGAUAUAAUGGUGAUCAAGGAGAUUGUAGAUUCUGGCAGGGAAAACUGACAUCAAACACGGCGACCCGACAUAGUGAGACCCUGUCUCUACUAGAAGAACUUUAAAAAUCACCUAGGUGUGGGCCGGGCACGGUGGCUAACGCCUGUAAUCCCAGCACUUUGAGAUGCUGAGGCAGGUGGAUCACGAGGUCAGGAGAUCGAGACCAUCCUGGAUAACACGGAGAAACCCCGUCUCUACUAAAAAUACAAAAAAAUUAGCCGGGCGUGGGGGCGGGCAUCUGUAGUCCCAAUUACUCGGGAGGCUGCAGCAGGAGAAUGGCAUGAACCCGGGAGGCGGAUCUUGCAUUGAGCCAAGAUCACGCCACUGCACUCCAGCCUGGGCGACAGAAUGAGACUCCAUCUCAAAAAAAAAGAAGAAACCAAGGAUAUAGAAUAAAACAAGAGUGUAGAUUUGGGCAUUGAGGCCUUCAAAUUGGAUUGUUCUCAAUGUCCAGAAGAAAAAAAAAAUUUAGAAGAGACCCAAAUCAGAAAACAAAAGUUGGGCUGAAUUCAAUGCGAAUUAUUUUCUAGCUCAAUAUUAAUACUGCUUAUGUCAGCUGAAUUUCAGCCUUUCAAUAACAGCUAGUCAAGUAUUUUUUUAGUUGGUUCCUAUUGAUCGUCAUCUUAUUUUAGUGGAAUCCAUUAUAUUGAAGAUGUCAAGUUCCUCAUUUCCCAUACAAAGAAUGUGAGAUUCAUCUUUCUUGAAUCUUUGCUAAGUGUUGAAGGGGACUUUUGGCAUCUUUUCAGGAGGACUAUAAUUGGGCCCUCUAACUAAAAAGUCUCCUAUGCCCCUUAGAUAGAUGAGAUUUUUUUUUUUGACCUUGUACCCACCAACAUUGGUGGGAGGCUCAGAAGGGACUGUGUUUGUAACUUUGUAGCACUUUCUAAACAGUGACCUGUUGUAUGGGCAUUAUAGGACAGUCCGUGGGGUGGGGCGGGGGAUGGGGGAGAUGGACAAAUGAGGUCUGGUUUAAAGAAUGAGAAGUGUGACCAGGCAUGGUGACUCAUGCCUGUAAUCCAGCACUUUGGGAUGCUGAGGCAGGAGGAUCACUUGAGCCCAGGAGUUUGAGGUUACAGUAAGCUAUGAUUGUGCCACUGGGCUCCAGCCUGGGUGACAGAACUAGACCCUGUCUCUAAAAAAAGAAGAAGAGGUGUGUAUCCUUCUAAAUGAUAAAACAGAUCACUCCCCUGCUUACAUAAAACUUUCCGGUGGCUGGCCAGGCACGGUGGCUCACGACUGUAAUCCCAGCACUUUGGGAGGCCGUGGUGGGCAGAUCACGAGGUCAGGAAAUCGAGACCAUCCUGGCUAACGUGGUGAAAUCUUGUCUCUACUAAAAACACAAAAAAUUAACCCAGGUAUGGUGGCAUGCACCUGUAGUCCCAGCUACUCGGGAGGCUGAGGCAGGAGAAUCGCUUGAACCAGGGAGGUGGAGGUUGCAGUGAGCUGAGAUUGCGCCACUGCACUCCAGCCUGGGUGACAGAGACUCUGUCUCAAAAAAAAAAAAAAAAAAGAAAAAGAAAAAUUAGAUGGGUGUGGUGGCAUGUGCCUGUAAUCCCAGCUACUGGGGAGCCUGAGGCAGGAGAAUCGCUUGAACCUGGGAGGCAGAGGUUACAGUGAGCCAAGAUUGCACCACUGCAGUCUGCCUGGGUCACAGAGCUAGACUCUGUCUCAAAAACAGAAAAACAAAAAAACAACUUUCCAGUGGCUUCUCACUGCUCUGAGAAUAAACUCCAGGCUCUUCCAUUGCAACCAACAGGAUCUGGUGAUUCGACCCCAGCCCCUCUUUCCAGGCCCUCAUCACCUUGAUCCUCCCUUAACCUAUCCUGCUCCAGCUGCACUGGCUGCCUUCCUAUUCCUCCAGCAUACCAAGAUUGUUUCUGCCACAGGGCCUUUGCAUCUGCUGUUCUCUUCGCCUGGACACCUCU